rnacentral:ncRNA from 2 species
UAUAUUUUGACAUUACCUGCUCAUAUAAUCCAAGGAAUAUGGCCUUGGAGUCUCUACCGGGUGGCCGUAAACUACCCGACUAUGAGUAAGGCUUAAUAUGCU